UGGCUUGUGGAGGUCACACAUCAUGCCGUGUGGUGGUGGAAUAUGCUGCAUAGCGGGUGAUCUCCCUAUCCAGU
rnacentral:pre_miRNA from 1 species